AAGUCGUAACAAGGUAUCUGUAGGUGAACCUGCAGAUGGAUCAUUUCGAUGAAAACCUUUUUUUUUCUGAGGUGUGGCUCGCACCUGUCCAACUAAACUGGGCUACUUUUUUUCAACACGGUUGCAUCGGUUGGGUGUCUGUCAAGGAGUGCCACUUUGGUGCUCGGCGACGGCCUCAACACUUUUUUACACAAAACACUUUUGAUGAUCUAGGAUUUGAAUGAAAGUUCAUUUUUUUUUGAUGGAACCGACUGGUAAUGCGGUCGUCUAAAUCUAAGAAACAACUUUUGGCAACGGAUCUCUUGGUUCUCC
rnacentral:misc_RNA from 1 species